CCUUAGUGGGAGGAAGUGACUCGCAGCCGUCACUUCCUCCCAGCGCUGCCGAAAAGCAAAGGGCCCGGUCGCGCUGUUAAAGUGCUACAGCGUGUGACCGGGCCCCUGCUUACAAUACCCACCCGGUGGCCUGCUUAAUGUGAGGGCCAGCGGCCCCAUGGGGGAAACAAUUGUUGAGGGCAGCGGGGCCCACGGGGAAGCUGCCUUGGGCCCCCCAAGAGUAACAGGGCCCGGGGCGGCUGCCCCGUUUGCCCCGCGUUAAAGACGGCCCUGCAUACA